UACGUAGGGUGCGAGCGUUGUCCGGAAUUAUUGGGCGUAAAGAGCUCGUAGGCGGUCUGUCGCGUCGGCUGUGAAAACCCGGAGCUCAACUCCGGGCCUGCAGUCGAUACGGGCAGACUGGAGUUCGGCAGGGGAGACUGGAAUUCCUGGUGUAGCGGUGAAAUGCGCAGAUAUCAGGAGGAACACCGGUGGCGAAGGCGGGUCUCUGGGCCGAAACUGACGCUGAGGAGCGAAAGCGUGGGGAGCAAACAGG
rnacentral:rRNA from 1 species